UGUAGGGUAGAGCAAAGGUAGCUCGGCAGUCUCAUAAGCUGCGUCAUGUGCAGGUUCGACUCCUGUCCCUACAA
rnacentral:tRNA from 1 species